UCCGGUUUGUCACCGGCAGUCUCCCUAGAGUUCCCGACCGUAUCGCUGGCAAAUAGGGACAAGGGUUGCGCUCGUUACGGGACUUAACCCAACAUUUCACAACACGAGCUGACGACAGCCAUGCAGCACCUGUCUGAGCGUUCCCGAAGGCACCAAGGUAUCUCUACCAAGUUCGCUCGAUGUCAAGGGUAGGUAAGGUUCUUCGCGUUGCAUCGAAUUAAACCACAUGCUCCACCGCUUGUGCGGGCCCCCGUCAAUUCAUUUGAGUUUUAACCUUGCGGCCGUACUCCCCAGGCGGUCGACUUAUCGCGUUAACUGCGCCACUAAGUUCUCAAGGAACCCAACGGCUAGUCGACAUCGUUUACGGCGUGGACUAC
rnacentral:misc_RNA from 1 species